GGGUAGAUGGCGAAAUUGGUAGACGCAUCACACUCAAAAUGUGACGACUUUUGUUUUGUGGGUUCAAGUCCCACUCUACCCA
rnacentral:tRNA from 1 species